rnacentral:lncRNA from 1 species
UGUUUGUCUGUUUUUUCAAUGCUAUAUUAAAAUGUGAAACCUACCCUGAUUUAUGGAGAGAAAAUUUUAUAAAACCAAUCUUCAAAGGAGGUUGUUUCAAUGACCCCUCUAAUUAUAGAGGAGUUGCAUUAUCUAGUUGUUUUGGAAAUUUUUUUACUAAAAUAUUGUCAAACAGGUUGGAUGAUUUUCUUGAGGAAAAUAAUAUUGUU